ACUCUAGUAUUGACCUCAAUCCACAUGUGUUGAGGUGGAUUGGGGUGUAAAUUAGUUUAAGUUACACCCCAAUCCACCUCAAUACAAGUGGAUUGAGGUCAAUACUAGA
rfam:Zea mays cultivar B73 chromosome 2, whole genome shotgun sequence.